rnacentral:misc_RNA from 1 species
UUAAAGAGUACAAUUUUGAAAAAAAACUACAUUUUUUAUUCUAGGGUUGUUGUUGUUGUUUUUUUUUAUAUAAAUAAAAAAAAUCAACACCAUUCUUGGUGUAUUUCCCCCUCACCCGACCCCACAGCUCUACCUACUCGCCGUAAAGCAUAUAUACACACAUAAAUACAUACAUAUAAUACAUAAAACAUAACUAUAAAAACAGAAAAAGAUGAGUAAAUAGAAGUUAACUAUUAUGAAAAUAAAAUGGCGUUAAGAAGAAAAGUCACAUGAUUUCUUAAUUGGAUAAUAGAAUAAAAUGGCAACUGUUAAAAGUCCCAUUAAUGAGAUGGAGUAUGGAGAUUUCCUUAGAAAAUUAAAGACAAAUAAGUACGCUUAUCUAUACGGUGGUAUUUCAAAAAAUGGCUUACCUAUACUUGUUAUCCCCGAUAAUAAGCAAAUAAUCAAUCGUAAUGAAUUUAAAUACUUGUUAAAAUUUAUGACAACAACUUUAAAAUACUCUUUUGAGAAUUGCAAUGUUGAAACAUUUACUAUUGUAUUAGACCGAAGAAAUUCAAAAUGGGCGCAUGUUAGGGAAUUUAUUAAAGAAUCUAUUAUUACAAAUUCAGAAUUAAUCAAUAUGGUUCUUAUUAUAAAACCUAUAGGAUUCUUUCAAAAGUUAUCAAAUUCAAAUUUAGAAAGAUCAAAUGCUAUUAAUAUACAUAAACUUGACAAUACGGAUCAAUUACAAAAGUUCAUUUGUAAAGAAAACUUAACUAUUGAGUAUAAAGGAAAUAUAAAAUAUGAUUUCUACAUUUGGAUUGAUUGUUUAAAGUUUAUGAAUAAAAUUCGAUUAGAAAUUUCGGAAAUUGAAGAGGAAAUUAAAAAUUAUCAACAAUUCGUUCUAAAAUGGUUGAAUCUUAUAAAUCCUGAUUUUAUUGAAAAAGGUUUAAAUGAUUUUGAACAGUUUAUUGAAAGAAUUAAAAUGAAAUAUGAAAAAUUGGAUGGAAAUUCAAUUAAUUUUGUUAAAAAUAUACAAAAAAGUAAAGAUAAUCCACCAUAUUUAUCGAUUAUCUCUAAUCAUAUAGACAGUUAUAAUGCAAAAAUACGAGAAGAUAACAAACAAUUCCUGAAUAUUUGCGACACAAAUCGCAAAAGCUUGCAAAACAAUUUACAACGUCAGAAAUGGAUAAUUCUAUACGAACAAGUGGUCGUUCUGAUUAAAGACUUUGAACAAUUGCAAGUCGAUGACCUAAAUAUUGAAGAAGAAUAUAAUUCGAUAAAGGAUAAAUAUAAGGAGUGCAUCAGUCAAAUUGAACACUGCGAAAAUGAAUCGAAAAAACUGGAGGAAAAAUCGACUAAACACGAAAAUUUACAAGAACUAAGGUCUCGAGUCAUUGCUCAGCAUUCAACUUAUUCAAAACGAUACGAGCAGACUGUACAGGUUAAAUUAUGCCUUGCCAGUGCAGAACCAUUAGAAAAAUCAUUUGCAGCCUUCUUAAAAACAGUACCAGAACUAUUAACGAAGGAUACCAAAGGAUUAUGCCGCAUCCUGCAAGAUGUCGAAUCACUGAUUGGCCGUCGAGAUAAAUUCUGCCAAGAACAUUCUAAAGUGUUGGAAUCUAACGAUUUAACGGUUGAUUCGGGUCUAAUCAGUAAAUUAGAAGAUUUUAAAAAGAUCUUGAGGAAAUAUUACGCUGAAUUAGGGCAAGUUAAAAUGGAUAUUGGCAAUCUAAUUAAUCACGCAAAAAUCGAAGCCGAAUGGAAAGUUAAUAGACAUUCGAACGACGGGAAAAGGAAAAGGGAUAAGAAAGAUAAAAUAAGGAAUCUUUUACCUUCAACAAUAGAAUUAAUACCAAGAGAAUUACAUUUGAAAGAAUUCGAUGAAUUUGGUAAUAAAUUAACAACAUUACAAAAAUCUAUUACCGAAUUAAUAGAAUCAGAAAAGAAAUACGUUGCCGAGUUACAAACAGUUAAAAAACGUUAUAUAGAAAAUAUACAAACUCAACUAAGAUCUGUACCGAAAGAGUUAAUUAACAAUAAGUAUAAUAUAUUCUCAAAUUGGGAAGAAUUAUUGGAAUUUCAUGAAACCAAAGUUCUAAAAGUCUUUGAAGAAAAUAGCUUGAAUUUGAGUAAUCUCGCGUUUCACCUUUAUAAUAUCGCUUCGAACUUUGGUAUUUAUCAACGUUAUUGUAGAAAUUACGUUAAAAAUCGAGAACUUAUUGAAAAAAUGGAAGAUCAUGAGUUUUUUACUGAUUUUUGCCGAAAUCGCUAUGGUCCAACUCAAAUGGAAUUUGUUAUGUCUGGUGGUAAAUUAAAGAGCUUGAGCGCCUAUUUAUGUUCGCCCUUUUCUCGAUUUGGUCAAUAUGUAACGAAUUUUGAGCGUAUAUUGAAUAACAUGCCAAAGGAUAGCGAAGAGUUUGAAGCUAUGAAAUUGGCUGUUAGGACUCUAUCCGACGAAGUAAGCCUAAUAAAUGAUUCGGAUUGCGUGAACGAUGUCGUAGAAGUAACGAAAAAAGUGUCGUUGCCUUUCUCGAAAAGACGUGAAAAUAUUGGGGAAGUCAGGGAUAUUCUUCUAUUCAGUAAAUGCUUGAUUAAACCUCGUCUAUUCAAAAUCCACCAGAAAGAAACGAAUUCAAAACAGCCCGAUGUUGUUCAUAAAACUUAUAGAACUGUGUUCCUAUUCCAUAAUGCUUUAAUAUUCGCAAGUAGGCCGGACGAUAGGAAAUAUCGUUUUAAAGGUUCCAUCAAGUUCAAUGAGGAUCUACUAACAUGCUUUUUGAAUUUGGGACCUCACGGCAACCCUGCUACCUUUGUCUUCCAAUUACAAUAUGGACGUGAAUUAGAAAUUGAUUGUGAGAGAGACAGUUAUAUUUUUGAAAAGUGGGCCUAUAGUCUUGAAAAAGUUGUACCCUCCGAUAAGUUAAUUAUGCCUCCGAAUUAUUUGACACUGCCCGUUAUUGCUGAUAGUGAACGGCGGCAAACGGAGAAAUUUUUCCGGAACGUUACCUCACCUAGUCAAUAUUCUUCUUUGAGUUCCGGUUAUUCAUCAGAAAUAUCUCCAUCAACUAUCAUUUAAAGGAAGCAGAAAAUAUAUAAAGUAUAUACUUAUAUAUAAAGCUAUAUAAAUAUUUAAAUAUGGAUCUAGUUGCUUAAAAAAAGUUAUGAAAUUUUUUCCUAAUAAAGCUGUAAGACAUAAUUAAUGCGUAGCGUUUCCAUAGUGACGCCAACUCGCGACAUUUCCCUUUCGCUAAAUCUCUGCGCAGACGUCUAUGUUUGCGUAAUUAGAACACAAUGAAUGUUGUUUCGGUGACAGUUCCGUCUAUCCUCAUUUACUCGAUUGCAUGUUACGCUAGUAGUAUAUGCGAGGAUGGAGGAAAAGAUGCCGUUGUCGGAUGCUGGAAUAAAUUGUUAAUGAAGGUUGGUUAUGAUCUGACUAAGCAAUUAAACAAGGAUAUUGGAAAGAGAAGAAAACGUACAAUAUCAACCUACAAAGAAGCAAAUUGCCCAUUCACAAAAAUGCAUUUUUAUAAUCUAACUGAAUGCUUUGAAGACAUUAAGAAACAGUGCGGAGAGAAGAGUCUACAUUUAAUAUGCGAGAUUAAAGGAAAUUUCUAUUCGUCUUUUCAACAUUGUUCCUACAACACUUCUGAUGCUCUGCGUUGUCGUGGAGUUAGAUUUAAGACAAUUAUGUUACUAUAUUUCAUUCCAUCUCUUGUAAGAUACCUCUUAUAAAAUUUUCUACUUUCUAUAGUAUAUAGAGU